rnacentral:rRNA from 1 species
UACGUAGGGUGCGAGCGUUAAUCGGAAUUACUGGGCGUAAAGCGUGCGCAGGCGGUGAUGUAAGACCGAUGUGAAAUCCCCGGGCUUAACCUGGGAACUGCAUUGGUGACUGCAUUGCUGGAGUAUGGCAGAGGGGGGUGGAAUUCCGCGUGUAGCAGUGAAAUGCGUAGAGAUGCGGAGGAACACCGAUGGCGAAGGCAGCCCCCUGGGCUAGCACUGACGCUCAGGCACGAAAGCGUGGGGAGCAAACAGG